ACCUGGCUGGCUCAGUUGGUGGAGCUUUGGACUCUUGAUCUAGAGGUUGUGAGUUUGAGCCCCAUGUUGGGUG
rnacentral:tRNA from 1 species